AUGAACGCCCCUCCCAUAUAUAGAGUUGAGCUGGAAUACUAUCGGUAGCAAACGGGUUCCGUUGCCACCCAUUUGUUUUCGAUGAUGGAGCCACCAAAUAAUCUAUACCACUUGAAGUAUCUAGAAAUCAAAUUUCAUACUUUUUCGAUAUUGUUUUCUUGUUCAUUAAGUGAGCGUAAAAAUGAGCGGCUGAAAAUAAAUAUCAUCUAAAAAGUGAUGAUAGAAAUUCUGCAAUCAAGAUCGAGAGUAUAGAUAUUGUUCUAAAUAGUUUAAAGAAUUUUCUAACCAAAAUUCAAUUGAUUUGAAUAACUUUACACCGUUAAACGAGAAAACGCCUCAUAUCGAUCAUUAAAAUUACAAAUUUUAAAACCCUUUGAUCAUUAGGUCAAUGUGUCAAAAAGAUUUAAAAUUUGAUUUCUAGAUACUACAAGUGGUAUAGAUCAUGUUCAACAGUGCGGAUCGUCGAUUUGAAGGCUCCAUCAUUGAAAAUAAAUGGGUGGCAACGGAGCCUGUUUGCUACCGAUAGCAUUUCAGCUCAACUCCCCAUAUAUAUAUGGGAGGAGAUGAUUCAGUUGACGGAAGAGAGAGAGAGAGAGAUAGGGGCGUUAGUCCAAAUUUUUGUCAACUAGAAGGGAUAUGUCUGGUAGGAGAUAGUUUUCACAAUGCAUUCCGAUGAGAAGACUAAUUAUUGCGCAUGGACUAGGUCAAAGAGAGGAACGAAGGAUGCUCUAAUGGGCAGAUAAAACAAUAUUAGGUGGUGAGAAUAGUUUUGUAUAUACUAUCUCUCAUAUAUCUAAUUAAAAGAAUUAGGUGUGAAAAAAAUAAAACAUUUAAAUAAGCUAUCAAAUCAACUUAAAUAUUAAAUGUUCAUAUUUCAAUGUGAUUAUAUUUAUUUAUAUAUUGAAAAAUUAAUUAAAAUUUUAAUAUUUUGGGUGGUAAACAGUAUUUCAAAUGAAAAAAUUAUAUAACUUGAAAAUAUAUCAAUUUGGAAAAAAUAGAUGAAUGAUAAAUAAAUAAUGCUUAUAUAAUAAAUUAUAUUGAAAUAUGGAUCAAAUUAAUUAUCAAAUAUUGAGUUUUAUUCCAUAAAUUUACAAUCUAAAUUUAUUAAUUUAAAAUUUAUAAUUACUUCAAAUUUUUAAAUUUGGAUACACAUUAAAAAAAUUAAAGUUAGAAAAAAAUUAACUGAUAAAUAAAUUUAUACCCAAUAAUUACUUAAUUUUAAAUAUAAAUAUAAAUUUAAUUUAAUUAAAUGUUACGUACAUUGCACGUGCACUAUAACUAGUAUAUAUAUAUAAUAUAUAUAUAUAUAUAUAUAUGCUAGUCUCCUAUAAUAUUAUAGUACUGGGCUCCGGUACUAUAGUCUCGUUUUCGAUCUUAGGUGUUCAAAUCAACGAUUCAUACAGUUAAAACUGAUCUAGGUAUUUAAAGUUUUUAGAAAAUAAAUUUUAUAUUUUUCGAUAUAGUUUACUUUAUGAUCAACCAUUUCAAAAUUGUCAAUUUUCAAUGGCUAUAUGGAGUUUGGAGUUUAACGUGUAGAAGAAUCUAAAUUUCUUCAAAUUUGAUAGAAAAUACUUUAACAUCUAUAUAUUAAGGUUAACAUUCUUGAUCUUGAAUUUAAAAUUCUAUGCUCAAAUUUUAAAGAUUAUUCUAUUUUCACCGUCCAUUUUGAUAUAAUUUAUUUACUAAGUAAACGAUAUGAAAAAAACUAAAAUUUUAUUUCUAAGAACUUCAUAUACCCUAGAUCAUAUUUAACGGUGUGGAUCGUUAAUUUGAACCCCCUAAGAUCGAAAAUAAGACUAUAGUACCGGAGCUCCGGUACUAUAGAUAGUAUAGUAACCUAAUUUAUAUAUAUAUAUAUAUAAUAUAUAUAUAUAUAUUAUAUAUAUAUAAUAUAUAUAUAUAUAUAAUAAAUNNNNNNNNNNNNNNNNNNNNNNNNNNNNNNNNNNNNNNNNNNNNNNNNNNNNNNNNNNNNNNNNNNNNNNNNNNNNNNNNNNNNNNNNNNNNNNNNNNNNNNNNNNNNNNNNNNNNNNNNNNNNNNNNNNNNNNNNNNNNNNNNNNNNNNNNNNNNNNNNNNNNNNNNNNNNNNNNNNNNNNNNNNNNNNNNNNNNNNNNNNNNNNNNNNNNNNNNNNNNNNNNNNNNNNNNNNNNNNNNNNNNNNNNNNNNNNNNNNNNNNNNNNNNNNNNNNNNNNNNNNNNNNNNNNNNNNNNNNNNNNNNNNNNNNNNNNNNNNNNNNNNNNNNNNNNNNNNNNNNNNNNNNNNNNNNNNNNNNNNNNNNNNNNNNNNNNNNNNNNNNNNNNNNNNNNNNNNNNNNNNNNNNNNNNNNNNNNNNNNNNNNNNNNNNNNNNNNNNNNNNNNNNNNNNNNNNNNNNNNNNNNNNNNNNNNNNNNNNNNNNNNNNNNNNNNNNNNNNNNNNNNNNNNNNNNNNNNNNNNNNNNNNNNNNNNNNNNNNNNNNNNNNNNNNNNNNNNNNNNNNNNNNNNNNNNNNNNNNNNNNNNNNNNNNNNNNNNNNNNNNNNNNNNNNNNNNNNNNNNNNNNNNNNNNNNNNNNNNNNNNNNNNNNNNNNNNNNNNNNNNNNNNNNNNNNNNNNNNNNNNNNNNNNNNNNNNNNNNNNNNNNNNNNNNNNNNNNNNNNNNNNNNNNNNNNNNNNNNNNNNNNNNNNNNNNNNNNNNNNNNNNNNNNCACUCGUAAAAUCGAAAAGAAGACUAUGGUAGUACUGGAGCUUCGAUACUAUAGAUAGUAUAGUAGCCUAAUUCUAUAUAUAUAUAUAUAUAUAUAUAUAUAUUAUAAUAUAUAUAUAUAUAUAUAUAUAUAUAUAGAAUUAGGCUAGAUACUAUUAGUAGUAAAAAAGCUCUUUUUGCUAUCAAGUUUUAACCCUUGAAUAAAAAUUGUAGGGUUAGGAUAUAUCUAGUCAGUUAGAGUUGAGUGGUCCCCCUAGGUUGAGUGGUCUCCCUGGGUUAUAGUAUUAAUCUAAUGGUAGAAAUGAUGAAAAAAAGAUUGAUCCAAAGGCUAAAAACCUGGUAGCCAACAAAUGAAUUUUGCUACUAAUAUAGCCCAGUCCAACUCUAUAUAUAUAAUAUAAGAGUUGAGGCUAGAAUACUCUCGAUAGUAAACGGGGCGUUUACUAUCGAGUUGUUUUCGAUGAUAGAGCUUCCAAAUGACGAUCGGCUCCGUUUGAACAUGAUCUAUACCACUGAAGUGUUUAGAAAUCAAAUUUCAAAUCUUUUCGACAUCAUAUGCUAAUGAUCAAAGGGUUUCAAAUUGUAAUUUUAAUGGUGGAUAACAGACGUUUUCUCGUUUAACGGUUGUAAAGAUAUCCAAAUCAAUUUGAAUUUUUGUUAGAAAAUUCUUUAAAACUAUUUAAAACAAGAUCUAUACUCUUGAUCUUGAUUACAAGACUCCUAUCAUCAUUUUUUAAAGAAUAUUCAUUUUCGGGCCAUUCGAAUUUUUUGUUCACAUAGAGAGAUAAAAGAACAAUAUCGAAAGUGCGUGAAAUUUGAUUUCUAGGUAGUUUAAAUGGUUUAGUCAUAUUUAACGAAACGAUCGUCAAAUUGGGAAGCUCUAUCAUCGAAAACAACUCGAUAGUAAAACGCCCCGUUUACUACAGAGAGUAUUCUAGCUCAACCUCUAUAUAUAUAUAUAUAUAUAUAUAUAUAUAAUUAGAUGGGAUACUAUUAAUAGUAAAACCCUCUUUUUGCUAUCAAGUUUUAACCCUUGGAUGAAAAUUGUAGGGUGUAGGAUGAUAUUAGUCAGUUGAGUUGAGUGUCCUCCCUAGGGUUGAGUGGUCCCACUGGGUAAGUAUUUAAUCCAAUGGUUCAGAAAUGAUGAAAAAAAGUUGAUCCAAAGGCUAUAAAAAUGGUAGCAACAAUAAGAUUUUGCCUACUAAUAGCUAAGCUCCAGCUCCAAACUCCUAUAUAUAUAUACUAUAUAUAGUUAUAUAUAUAUAUAUAUAUAUAUAUAUAUAGAGAUAGAGAGAGGCAGAUUGAGCGAAUCAGAGCCGAUGCGUCCGGCGGAGUCCCCUGAGCGAGAGGAGACUACCGACGCACCGGGCUGAGGAUGUAUGAGACGGAGGAGAGGGGACGGGGCGAGGGGAGGGAGCUGCGGAGGACAGACGGGACCUGGAGAGAGAUUCAAAUUAACGAUCCACACCGUUAAAUAUGAUUUAGGGUAUAUGAAAUUUUUAGGAAUAAAAUUUUAGUUUUUUUCGACAUCGUUCACUUAAUAAAAAAAAUUAUGUCAAAAUGGACGAUGAAAAUUAAAUAAUCUUUAAACUUUAAGUAUAGGACUUUUAAAUUCAAGAUCAAGAAUGUUAAUCUUAAUCUAAAUAGUUUAAAGUAUUUUCUAUUAAAAUUUAAAGAAAUUUAGAUUAUUCUACACCGUUAAACUCCAAACUCGCCAUAGUAGCCAUUGAAAAUUGACAAUUUUGAAAUGAUUUGAUCAUAAAGUAAACUAUGUCGAAAAAAUAUAAAAUUUUAUUUCUAAAAACUUUAAAUACCCUAGAUCAGUUUUAACGGUGUGGUUCGUUGAUUUGAACACCCUAAAAUCGAAAACGAAACUAUAGUACCGGAGCCAGAUAGUAUAGGAGACUAUAUAUAUAUAUAUAACUAAGCUGGUAUAUUAUCGGUAGUGUAGAGACCUUCGUAUUACUGAUAUAUUUUCAAUGAUGCAGCUUUUAAAUUGAUGAACGGUUCUAUUAGACUUGACCGAUAUAUACUAUUGAAAGUACUUGAAAACUAAAUUUUAUAAUUUUGUGUCAUUAGUCUUGCUUAGUUGAUUCUCUUUUUCUCAUUGUAGGUGUUACUGCUAUGCUUUAUUACGUGCACUCUUAACUACGGAUCGAUGGCAAUUUUGGGCUACCUCAUGUACGGCGACAGUGUAAACUCUCAAGUGACUUUCAUCUCCCUACAGGAAAGCUUAGCUCGAAGGUAGCAAUAUACACCACACUAAUUAAUCCGUUCUCAAAGUACUCCUUGAUGAUUGCCCCGGUCGUAACUGCAAUCGAAGAAAGAUUGAUCACGGUCAUCAAGAGAUCUGCUACGCUGUUGAUUCGAAGCCUCGUGGUUCUUAGCACCGUGGUUAUAGCCUUAACCAUCCCGUUCUUCGGCUCCCUUAUGGCGCUCAUUGGCUCAUUACUAAGCAUCAUAGUGUCUAUGAUGCUGCCCUGUAUAUGCUACAUCAAGAUAUUUGGCGCGUCACAAGUUCGGAAGGUCGAGCUAGUACUCAUUUCGGAGAUUUUGUUGACGGGUACUUUGGUUGCUAUAACCGGUACUUACGCUUCUUUGAAGGAGAUUAUUCAUCAACUCUGAAUAUUUCUGCAGGGAACUUGUAGUGUUCUACCCGAAGAGUUCAUCAGUUAGCGUGACCGACAGCGAAGGGAAGCUCAUUCUGUGUACAAUUGUCAAGAAUAGCUUUCAGCGGCUGCGAAUCGAAUCAAUUAGAGAUGCAUGCAUGUAUGUGGUCGGCGACGCUCUUUCCAGUGACUCACUGUGAGUCAAUUUGGUUCCUGGAUUCUGAGACCGAUUCGAAGCCUGCUAGUGAUUGCUCCGAAGGACACGGCUGAUCAAGUUUCCUCCAGGAGAAGGAAGAGGAAAACUGAAGGGUACUGCAGACAUGAUUUCGUGUUCGGUGUAAAGUCCACCAUGUGCUGUUUCUAUGCUAAUUUUAUGCAGAUCAACUAUUUUGCCGACAUAUUUGAUUGGCAUGUUAAAUAAAUGGCGAAAACUCGACUCUUCUUCGUAAUUGCCGAUUUUAUUGUCACUUUUCGAUUUUCUGGCAACUGAUGUUUACGUUCUAAUUGUUUAUUAUAGAAUCAGAACUGUAUGGUGUUUAAGUUCUUUGAUAAGUUACAGAUUGAAGUUUUGGACAAAUGGAAGUCUCCAGUCACGGCUUGAAAUUAUAUAUAUAAUAAUUGCUAUUACUUACAACGUGCGUCCCCAUGUGCUUGUGCUCUACCAAUUGGUUUGAUUCCUUUUGAUUAAGUAAAGCUUUUUUUUUACCCUUUUAGAAAUAUGUAAAUAGAAUCUAAUUACAGUAUUUGGAUCUAUACAAUUUGAUUUUCUGUUGAGAAUCAGACUGAAUAAAGCACGUGCUAAUCAAGAUCGCAGCAAAUUCUGAAGCCACUGAGAGCCUGCUUGUUUGCACGGAAGUGGGAUGGGAAAGUGAUUUUCGGUGAAAACUGACUAUUUUCGUUGUUUGGUUCACCGUAAAAAAGUUACGGUCGAAAGUCCAGUUAACCAAAAACGACGUAAUUGACUUCAGCCUAUUGUGGGCCGAAGUCAAUUAUGGUGAUUAAGAUAAGAUUCUAAAAAGACAAAUAUUUUAGAACGUGCACUACAAUAAAAACGGUCUAUAGCGACACUUUUAAAUAUAGGUACAUGUCAAAAAAGUGCUGCUAGCUAAAAUUACCGAUACUUUUAAAAAGUGUUGCUAUAUGUGGGGUCGCUAGGCAUAUAGUAACAAUUAAAGAGUGUUGCUAUAACCUAAAAGAGUGCUGCUAAUUUACCAACACUUAUUUAAGCAUUUAGCAACCGCCGAAACUCUAUCUCGUUGGCUGCGGUGGCAGAGGAGGACGACAGGAAAGGCUUUUCGUCUAGAAUUUCAGUGGAUUGAGUAAAGAGAGAAGAAAAGAUGGUAAUUAAUUUUUCUUUUUUUUUUCUUUUCUGUUUAUAAUCGGGCCAAAUGAACUGGAUGUGGUGAGUUGAGUAGAGUAAUCUUUUAUUUUUGGUUGGAUUGGGCUUUAUAUUUAGGCAUUAGUAGAUAUUUUUUUUAAGUUUUAGAAUAAAUGGGACACUUACUCAAAAGUGUCCCAAACAUGUGUCCCUAUAACAUAAUUCUGUUAUAGUGGUGCAAUAUGUACUAUGCAGAGACAAAGCCAGGAUUCAAUCACGAGGAGGGCAAAAUAUAUACAAAUAAAAUUUUAGCAAAUAAAUAAAAUUUUAACUACUCAAAUUUUUAAUAAAAAAAUGUAGUGAUUAGAUAAUUAAUGUUAAAAAUAUUAAAUUUAUUUUUUUAAUUUACACUUGCUUAACUUUCAAUUAUUUUAUUUGCAUUAUUUUAUUCAAAUAACUUAAGAAUUUUACUAAAUCUAAUCAUAAUUUAGUUAUCAUUUAAUUUUUAAAUUUUUUUAAUAAAAUAAUGACAACCAAUGACUAAUAUUCAACAGAGCUCCUAAAUUUAGCAUAUAAUUUUAUUUAGUUGUAUAAAUUAGCUCAUCAAAAAUAAUUAGAAAGUUAAGAAUGUAUAAAUAAAAUAUUUAAAGUUGAAAGGACGUAUUUUAAAAUACACUAUAAUUAAGAGGUUCUUAGUAUAUUUUCACUUAUAAAACAUAUAAUUAAGUAGAGAGAGCUGUAUACUGGCGCUAAAAUUUUUUUAUAAAAUAGGCUCGUAUAUUUUAAAAAUUAACUAAAAAUUUAUGAACUGCCAAAGAACUAUAAAGUUAAUAUUGAAAAGUUAAUAUUGAAAAGUUAAGGAGGGCCGUAGCCCCUUUGGAUCUAUAUAUGGCUCUGUCCCUGGUACUAUAUAGCUAAUGAAGAUACAUGCACCAUGAGAAUAUUAUGAUUAUAAGAUUAUAUGUAAGUUGGUGAUAGGCGAGAAGCGCUUAAUAAGAUGGCGAGAAGCGCUACUGAGGAGCCCCUCCUCCCUUUGCUGGAGUUGAACACUUCAAAGAAAUUGGUGGAGGCCCAUCAACAAGAUGACGCCACUUUCGUUAGGACUUGUUUUAAUGGGCUUAAUGCUUUAUCUGGUGCAAUCUCAAUCUUUUUCUUCUUUUUUUUUAAACUUGUUUUUUGUUGCCAUUUAUUAGUGCAGAUUUUUAAGAAGAAGUAUAAUCUUGUUCGAGGAUCUUAAUGUAAUUAACAUCAGGUCUUUUUCAUCUCAAGGUAUUGUUGUCUUUUUUUAAACAUAAUUAUUAUUCUUAUUUUAAGUUUGACCGGGAUCAUGCAUAGAUAUGUAUGCCUCUCCAAGGUUUUCUUUUUUAGAAACAGUUUGAUUGCAUGCAAAAUUACAAAUUAUAUUAUUGUUGUAAUUAUAUGCAGAUUAAAAUUUGGUGUUUGAUAUGUUUGAAUUUAACUGUUACAGUUGGUAUUAUACGAGAAGUCUUAACUGUAGUAGUUUAAACUACGCUUAAACUGGUGCUGCAGUUCCAAUUGUUACAGCAUACUUUCUACUCUAUCCAACUAAAUAAAAUGUAAAAAAUUAUAUAUGAAUUUUCUUAACUGGACGUAUCUCUAACUGCACCAUAUAUAUAAUUACGUCAAAUCAAAGUGCCCUUAGCUUUUCCUUUUCUCGAGUAAAAUGGGUUUUUAAAGAAGAAAAAGUUAUGAACUGGAUUUCAAUGUCUUUUUUAUUUAUUUAGCUAAGGAAAAACAAAAAAAAUAAUAAUAAUAGCCAAUCGAUGUUGUUACAUUCAUUGUUCAUCAACCGGUGUUAUUACAUUCUUCUUCUUCUUUUUUUCCUUUACUUCUACUGUUUUAUUUCCUCGUAUUCCAGUUUUUCUUUUUUUUUAUUGCAUUAUUUAAACUCUAUCAUUUCAUUAUAUUUUCUCCAAAAAAUCACUACAUAAGCACAAUAGGUUCUUUAUAUAUAUAUAUGGGCCAUGGCUACUAUUCUAUUAUGAGUAUUGGAGCCCUCGUACUCAUAAGUUAUUUUUAAUGAUAGAGUUUCCGAAUCGACGAUCCAUUUCGUUAAAUAUGAUCUAGAGUAUUUGAAACUUCUAGAAAAUAAAUUUUGUAAAUUUUCAAAAUCAUAAUAAAGUCCAUCAAGUGGGCAUAAAAUGAACGGUUAAAAUCGAACGACGUCCUAAAAAAGGAUGAUCGGAUCCUUCAAUUCAAGAUCGGAGUUAUUGAUCUUUAUUUAUGUAGUGAAUAGAAUUUUCUAUCAAAAAUUCAACAAAUUUCGAUUCUUUUACACUGUUAAACUAGCAAGUAUCCCAUACCGGCCGUUAAAAAUUGUCAAAUUUGUGACAUCUUUAUCGUAAGGUAAAUGAUGUCGAAAAUUUAUAAAAUUUAAUUUCUAGAAGUUUUAAAUGCUGUAAAUAACGUUUAACAGUGUGGAUCGUCGAUUCGGAAGCUCUAUCAUUGAAAACAACUUAUGAGUACGAGGCGAUCGUACUCAUAAUAGUAUAGUAGCCAGACCAUAUAUAUAUAUGUAUAUAUAAUAUAUAUAUAUAUGUAUAUAUAUAUAUAUAUAUAUAUAUGUAUAUAUAUGUAUAUAUAUAUAUAUAUGUAUAUAUAUAUAUAUAUAUAUAUAUGUAUUAUAUAUAUAUAUAUAUAUAUAUAUGUAUAGUUAAAUGCCAUAAUAGGUCUCUGCAAAUAUAAUGAAUUGCAAAUAUAUUCCUACAAAAUUCAACUUUCAUAUAUUGUUUCUACAAAAGUUCUAAUAUUUUCAAAUAUGUAUCUCUAGUUUGUUACCGUUAGAGAACACUUCGAGAACUAUUUAUGUUUUCAAUUUUACCAUCACAAAUGUGCCCAUUCAAAAGCCACAACAGUAUAAUAGAAGAGGGACAAAAAUAUCAAGUUAUCUUAUAAACUAACCAGGAUUAAGUAUUUAAUAUAUGAUUAGCUAAAUUUUUCUAACGUAUUCUAACGACAGAAACAUAUUUAAAAAUAUUAAAACUUUUAUAAAGACAAUAUAUGAAAAUUGAACUUUAUAGUAAUAUACUUGUAAUUUACUAUAUUUACAAGAAGCUGUAUGAAUUUAACCGCAUAUAUAAUGUGUUGAGUACUUAAAUAAUGAGUACGAUUCUAUGUAAAGAGAUAUUUGUGAUAUUAACCACAUUCCAUACUCUCCAAGAUAGAAUUACAAGAUAGUCCUUAAUGUUUUUUUUUUUUUUUUUUUGGCGCUUUUGUUUUAUAUAAUAUAGGAGUUGGACUACUGUCAAUCCCCUAUGCANUCCUUUUUUUUUUUUUUUUUUUUUUUUUGGCGCUUUUGUUUUAUAUAAUAUAGGAGUUGGACUACUGUCAAUCCCCUAUGCACUUUCACAAGGAGGUUGGUUAAGCCUGCUGCUACUCUUCAUUGUAGCCAUGAUCUGUUGCUACACCGGCCUGCUCCUUCAACGGUGCAUGAAAGCCGACCCGAGAAUCCGAACCUAUCCGGACAUCGGCGAGUUCGCAUUUGGCUACUUGGGAAGGAUAUUCGUGUCGGUCUUCAUGUACUUGGAGCUGUACCUCGUCGCGAUCGGGUUCUUGAUACUAGAGGGUGACAACUUGGAUAAGUUGUUCCCCGACACUAAGCUUAUCGUCGGAACUGUCAGCAUCGCGAGUAAGCAGUUGUUUGUCAUGCUAGUUGCGCUUAUAAUCUUGCCGACUACUUGGCUGCGGAGUCUCAGCGUGCUUGCUUAUGUCUCGGCCGGAGGGGUUCUUGCCUCAGUUAUUGUUGUGUUCUCCGUGCUGUGGGCUGCGACGGUUGAUGGGGUUGGAUUCGGUGAAAGAGGGAGGUUCUUGAACUUGAGCAGUCUGCCGACCGCUCUAGGGCUUUACACAUUCUGUUACGGCGGCCAUGCCGUGUUUCCGACGCUAUGCACUUCGAUGAAGGAUAAGAGUAAGUUCUCAAAGGUGAGUAGCACAAGGAGCUAGCAUUCCAUUCAGGGUGCGUUUGGUCCACGUUUUUUUUUUAAAAAUUUCUAGUAAUUCAAUAAAAAUAAAAAAAUAUGACGGUGUUUGAUUAAACGUACUAAAUAAUCUAAUUGGUAAUAUUAGAUUUACUUGGGAAUGAGAUUUAUCCUAAAAUACUAAUCUCAUUUUCUUGAGGGAGGAUAAAUAUCCUCAUAUUAAUGGAUUGGGAUAAUCAUAAUAUAUCUAAUAUCUUUCUUUCUCCCUACCUGUCGGCUAGUUGGUAUUAUUUUUCUUUACACUCUAAUCUCAUAUUUCCCUCUAAACUUAUCUUUUUCUCUCUAAACUUCAACUCUUUUUCUCUCUCUAAACUAAUUUCUCUUUCCCCCUCUUUUCUAAAUUCUCAACUCUCCCACUCCCUCUAACUUCUCUCUCUAAUCUAUGUUAUCUCUUACUUUUUUUCUAAAAAGAUGUUGAAAUUUGUGGUAGUAUUAUCUAAAAUUAAUUUAAAAAAAUAAAUUAAUUGUAUAUUUUUUGUAAUCUUAAAUAAUAUGACUAAAUAAUAUGACUGUGCGAACCAAACACAGGAAUGCCACAUUCUUAGUAAUAAGAUGAAUAUGAAUAAAAUUCUCGAAUAUUUUUUUUAUUUCUAGUAAUCUUUUAUAGUGCGAACCAAACGCGCCCUAAGUGCUAUACAAUUUUAAGUAGCAAGGGUACAGUAGGUGAUCUCACAGCAGUUCAGAACAGAACCCUUAAAUUACCACUGAAACUUCUCAACAAGAAAAAAAAAGAAAAAGAAGAUGAUAUGGUAUUACUUAACCUAGUGGCGAAUUUUGUAACCAAUUAUUGAACUUUUUGGUCAUCUCAUGACCAGAGAAAGAUGAUUUCAGAAGUUAAAUGCUCUGUUUGUUAUAUGUCUCCAUGCCCAUUGAAUUGAUUCUUGUUUGAAUUUUGUGUCAUUAGUCUUGCUUAGUUGAUUCUCCUUUUUCUCAUUGUAGGUGUUACUGCUAUGCUUUAUUACAUGCACUCUUAACUACGGAUCGAUGGCAAUUUUGGGCUACCUCAUGUACGGCGACAGUGUAAACUCUCAAGUGACUUUGAAUCUCCCUACAGGAAAGCUUAGCUCGAAGGUAGCAAUAUACACCACACUAAUCAAUCCGUUCUCCAAGUAUGCCUUGAUGAUUGCCCCGGUCGCAACUGCAAUCGAAGAAAGAUUGAUCACGGUCAACAAGAGAUCUCCUACGCUGUUGAUUCGAAGCCUCGUGGUUCUUAGCACCGUGGUUAUAGCCUUAACCAUCCCGUUCUUCGGCUCGCUUAUGGCGCUCAUUGGCUCAUUACUAAGCAUCAUAGUGUCUAUGAUGCUGCCCUGUAUAUGCUACAUCAAGAUAUUUGGCGCGUCACAAGUUCGGAAGGUCGAGCUAGUACUCAUCUCGGGGAUUUUGUUGACGGGUACUUUGGUUGCUAUAACCGGUACUUACGCUUCGCUGAAGGAGAUUAUUCUUCAACUCUGAAUAUUUCUGCAGGAAAUUGUCGAGGCUUCGAAUUGUAUUUCUCAUGUCCUCUGUCAAAGCUGUAUUAUGUAUUUUUUGCUUUUUAAUAAAUGAGAAAAUCAAUCGAAACAAAUUACAUCGAGCAGAUUGCAGGAAUCAAAAUCGUACGUUCGUUUCGAUUGGAAAAAUUAUAUCAACAGUGUCCGUUCUUUUCAUGUUCAAGUUCAAUCCAUUCAGUGCCUCCGCGAUACUGUCAAAACCAAUACAAGAAUCAUCAUCCCCGGAAAUAAACCGAUAAAUCCUCCCUCCCACUUCGACGCAACUCUCCCCCGCUACCUUCUUCAACCCCUCCAUUCUCAUCACUCGCCUCAUCUUCGCAGCCUCCUCCCAUGAGCCGACCUCUGAAUACAUAUUUGCGACCAUCACGUAGUUCCCGCUCCGUCUGGGCUCCAAUGCUAGCAGCUUUCUUUGCACCUCUUCCCCGAUUCCGUGACUAUCUUUGGAACUAUGUAACUGGCAAGCGCUUAGCAGAGUUCUCCAUACAACCGCGUCAGGCUCAACGGGCAUGCUUUUAGUAAAGUUGUAAGCUUCAAGAAGGCGACCGUUGCGACCUAGUACAUCGACCAUGGCGCUGUAGUGUGUCAUCAUCGGCUUGAUACCGUAUACAUGCUCCAUUUCAUGGAAGAGUCGAUACGCCUCAUCCGCCAAGCCCGCAUGCGAGCAAGCACAAAUAACGCCCAGGAAGGUCACGUAAUUGGGUUCGACGGAAGUGUUCUUCAUCUGCGAGAAAAGCGUAAGAGCUUCUUCCGGGGCGCCGUGCUGAGCGAACCCGAGAAUCAUGGCGCUCCACGUCCACACGUUCCUCACUGACAUCUUCUCGAAUAAGCGGCGGGCGUAUGUUAUCGCCCCGCAUUUGGCGUACAUGUUGACAAGGGCGGUGCCUAACUGAAGAGUGAACUCUCUCUCAAUUUGUAAUAUCUGGCCGUGAAUCCACUUUCCGAAAGUCAAGCACCCGAGCUCGGCGCAGGCCGAGAGCAGGACGAGGAACGUGGGCUGAUCCAGCUCGAACCCGGAGUCCACCAUCCGGAAAAACAAUCUGAUGCACUCCUCGGGCGUCGAAUUAUCGACGCAGGCGGAUAACAUGGUGUUCCACGAGACCACGGUUCUGAGGGGCAUAUCGUCGAACACCUUACGAGCGUCACCCAAACGGGCACACGACCCGUAGAGCAGCAUGAGGGUGUUCUGCACGUAGACGACGAAAUCGACCCCGUUCUUCACGGCGUCGGCGUGGGCCUGGGCGCCGGAUCGGAGGUCGCGGAGUUGGGCGCAGGAUUUGAGGACGAAGGGGAGGUUGAGCUCGUUGGGGCGGAGGCCGCGGCGGCGCAUGAGGAGGAAGAGGCCGAGCGCGCGGGAGGGUGAGUCCGCUUGGGCGCGGGCGCGGAUGAGGAGGUUCCAAGCGGAGCGCGAGGGGAGGAGGAGGGGGGAGUGGAGGAGGAGGGUUUGGGCGUGGGCGUGGGCGUGGGCGUGGGCGUGGGAGAGCGCGAGGACGCGGAGGAGCUCGGCGGCGAGGAAGGUGCGGCGGCGGAGGACGCCGGAGGUGAGGAGGUGGGCGUGGAGUUGGAGGAGGUGGGAGUGGGAGCUGCAAGAAGAGAGGAGGGAAUGGUAGCAGUGGUGAGUGCCGUGGGUUGCACUCGCGCUCAUGGGCCGAGCCAUGUAAAUCAACAAAGAAAGUAAAUUUACACCUAUUCAUUCUAAAAUUUAGAAUUAAUUUUUAAUAUUUGAAAAAUAAUUUUUAUAAAAUAAAAGUCUCCUUCUUGAAGUAUACCAUCUAAGUUAUUUUUUUUAUUCCGUACAGAGAUAUCAUGUACCGAACAUUUAUUUAUUUUCAAUUUUCAAUCUCAUAAUUCAAUACUAGUAUUUAUUUUUUAGAGACCAGAUAAUUAGAUUAAAGAGUUUUAGAUGGAUAAAAUAUGGGAUAACUUCAAAAAACCCACCCUGUGGUUUCCAACUUUCUCACUUUAGUACCAUGUGGUUUAAAGUGUAUCAAUUUACCCCCCUGUAGUUUUGUUUUUAUUUUUUCUAUAGUUUUUUUCUUAAUAUUUCGUUAAAUUAUAUGCAAAAAAACAUCAGAUAUCCAUCUAGAUUUAUCGAAUAUUUAUUUUAGGACCCUUUAAUUUUAAUUUUGUUACUGAUUUGAGAAAAAAAAAAUAAUAAAAUUGAUAAAAAAAAAAGAGAAAAAUGAAACCACAGAUUGAUACACUUUAAACCAUAUGGUACUAAAGUGAGAAAGUUGAAAACCACAUGGGGGUUUUUGAAGUUAUUCCAUAAAAUAUCUAUAAAUUUUUAUGCAAAUUAAUCAUAAAUAUUAGAAAAUAGGGAAAAUCAAUAUUAUUCAAAUAUAAUUUGAGUUAUGUAUCUACCAUUUCAACACAAUUUCACCUAAAUUUUUUCAUUGAAGCCAGAUUAAAAAAGGUAAUUAGCAAAAUAAUUAAUUACAAACGUAUAAAUUCCGUAUUCGUUCGCGCCACGUAAAUUUAGCAUCCGUGGCCCCUCGCCACGCCAUGGCACUACCUCGUCUUCUUCGCCCAAAUCCCUCCCUCUCCACUCUCCGCCAUUACCAACCCCCCCAUCCUCGCCUCCUCCUACACUCCUCCAUCAUUCCUCUCAUAUCCUCCUCCUCUUCCUCCUCCAAGACCCACCUCCUCCAAAUCCACGCCCACCUCCUCCGCACCUCCCUCCUCUUCCACGACAUUUCCAUCUCCUCCGCCUUCUUAUCCCGCGCCGCCGCGCACUCCGCCUCCUACUCCCUCCGCCUCUUCGACCAAAUCCCUCGCCCCACCAUUUUCCACUGCAACGCCAUGUUACGAGCCCUCUCCGAGAGCGCCUCCCCGGAGCAAACCCUCGUCUUCUUCAAGCGCAUGCAGGACCUCGGCGUCCGCGGUAACCCCUUCUCCUCCUCCUUCGUUCUCAAGGCUUGCGUGAGAACCUCUUCGUUCUCUCUUGGGAAACAGGUCCACGGUAGGAUUUUGCGACGUGGGCACCACUCCGAUUCCCUCCUCCUUACCAAUCUAAUAGGUAUUUACGACUCGUGCGGGAGCGCAAGCGACGCGCGCAAGGUGUUCGACGAAAUGGCCGAGAAGGACACCGUCGCGUGGAACGUUUUGAUCUCUUGCUACGCGCGAAACCGACGAACUAAAGAUGCUUUGCAUCUGUUUGACGAAAUGCGGGACCCGAAAUAUGGGGCCGAACCGGAUGAUGUCACCUGCCUGCUCCUGCUUCAAGCAUGCGCGAACUUGGGAGCGCUUGAUUUCGGCGAGCGGAUACGUGAGUUUGCCGAGGAACAUGGUUAUAUCGAUGCAUUGAAUGUGAGGAAUUCGCUUAUCGCCAUGUACUCAAAAUGCGGGUGUGCCAAUAAGGCGUACCGAGUGUUCUGUGACAUGCCUCAAAAGAACGUUGUUAGCUGGAGUGCGAUGAUUUCUGGUUUGGCAGUGAAUGGGUUCGGAAGAGACGCCAUCGAAGCAUUUCGAGAGAUGCUAAAUGUGGGCGUCGCUCCUGAUGAGCAGACGUUUACAGGGGUCCUCUCGGCUUGCAGUCAUAGUGGGCUGGUCGAAGAAGGACUGAGAUUCUUUGACAUGAUGAAAUUUGAGUAUGGUCUGGUCCCGAAUGUAUGUCACUACGGGUGCAUCGUCGAUCUAAUGGGCCGAGCUGGGUUGCUCGAUCGUGCUUAUGGUCUUAUAGUAAGAGAGAUGGGUGUCACGCCAGAUGCCACAAUUUGGAGAACUCUGCUUGGAGCUUGUAGGAUUCAUGGUCAUGUCGACCUUGGAGAGCGUGUAAUCUCUCACCUAAUUGAAUUAAAGGCACAACAAGCUGGGGAUUACGUUCUGUUAUUGAAUAUCUAUGCAUCCGCAGGAAAAUGGGAGAAGGUUGCAGAAGUUCGGAGGUUAAUGAAGGACAAAGGAAUUCAAACUACUCCUGGCUGUAGCUCGAUAGAAGUGAGCGGUGAGGUCCAUGAAUUUGUUGCGGACGAUGAUUUGCACCCGCGAAAAGCCGAGAUUUACGAGAAGCUUGAGGAGAUAUGUAAGCAGCUAAAGAUUGCGGGAUACGUAGCAGAUGUGGCUUCCGAGUUGCACGAUUUGGAUAUGGAGGGGAAGGAGAGUGCUUUGUCUUAUCAUAGUGAGAAGUUGGCCAUUGCUUUUGGUGUUCUCGUGACCCCACCGGGCAGAACAUUGAGAAUCGCGAAGAACCUUCGUAUUUGUGCUGACUGCCACAAUUUCAUGAAGGUGUUUUCUGGCGUUUAUAAUCGGCCGGUGAUUGUUAGGGAUAGGAGCCGGUUCCAUCAUUUCAAAGAGGGUCAUUGUUCUUGUAACGACUAUUGGUAGGCUAUUCCCAGCGUGGCUUGUCUAAGCCUCUGCUAACGGCGCAUCCUAUCUCAUGAAUAGCUUUAAGGACUUACUGGGGCAAAGAUGGAAAGAUUGAUAAGUUCUAGGCAGCUUUGUGAGGAUUCAUAGCAUAAUAAUGCUCUAAGAUUGCGAGUAUAUUGUUAAAGAUGUUAUUCAAAUGGAAGUUAUGUAGAAAACGGACUGUGUUUAUGGAUUUCGAUUAAUUUUGUGAUCCUUUUGAAGGGCUGAUAAGGAAAUGGAAGAUGAUAUUCAAAGGAAAGCAGAAAUCGGACUGUUUCGGGCACGUUCAAUCUGCAAGAAAUCAUUUGUUGAGGGGAUUUUGGAACAUCUUAUGUUUUGUGCUCAUUGCUGGUACCUGUUAGAGGCAACAUUCAUAACAAACAUAUUUGUUGCUAAAUGCCUUUCUCAGGGACUAUCAGUCAUUCGGAAGUGGCACUCUCUUCUCAAUAUUUCUCUACAUGAAAACAGCAUUAUUACGCCAUCUAGUUGAUCACACAGAAUAAUUUUUUGCUUUCUGAUUAAAAUUUGUUCUACUAUAAAUUGUUCCUUCAUUGCUUUGGUUUAUGUUUCUUAGAUCUCUCUGACAAAUCAUGUGACAUUUAAUUGUAUGCAGGUUGAAAAUCAACAAACUUGGUUGCUCUGAAUCCACCCUGGAGCUGCUGCUGCAAAUUCGCGUUAUCACAUCUGCGAUAUUGCAGAGUAAACCAUAAACAAUUAAUAGGAGAUGCAGAGUUGCUUUUUUUUCCCUUUUUUUUUUUGAAGUUUAAAAAGUUCUGAUUUUUCAGGGUUAUACUAGCUGGCAAAUGUUUGGAGUGGUCUGGUCUUGCACCUUGAAAAAACACCAUUGGAUGAAUCUGGUUCACCACGUCAGCUAUGGGGAGCCACGUCAUAUUAAAUAUAUAUAUUUUUUAACUUUUAAUAAGAUUGCAACUCAUUGGAUAAUUAGGAUUUACUAUAAUAAUUUCAAGUUUUUUAGUUAGUCAAAAGAUUACAGAUGGUAAAUAUUUUUCUAAUGAAUCAACCGUCUCUAGCGCAAAUGGCAAAGGAUUUGAUAAUUGGUAUCUGAGAUGUAAGUUCGAAUUAUAGUUGAUUCAUAUUUCUAGUUAAGUUUAUUUGUAAAUAAAAUAAAUGAAGUGGAUAGUAUACUAUCUAUCUCUCAAAAAAAAAAAAAAAAAAAUCAUAAGUCAUUUGGUAAGCUCUUAUGGGCUCAUGGAUUAAUGAACAUGCCAGAACCCACAUGGAAAUUGUCUAUUUUUUAACUUCAUAAAUACACAUUGAAUAACUUGAUAUGAUAAUAUUAAUAAAUGGCAUUGCCUAACCUCAUCCUCGAAUUCAACUUUCUUCUAAGUUAUUGGAGUGAAAAAAAAUAAAAAACUUCACUGAUGAUAUCUUUCCGGAUGCAAGACAGCGUGGAAGAGCUGGUACAAGACUAUAUAAAAUAAUUUUCUCUCGAUAAAAAUAAAUUAUUUUUUCUUAGAGAGAAAUGAUUCGGUACUUUUUUUAAAAAAAAAUAAAAAAUAUCUUAACCGUUGAUUAAUAGAAGGUAAAAAUGUAACUUUAAUACUUAGCAGGUAAAAGGAUUAUUUUAUUCAAGAUUAGUUUGGUAAUUAAAUAAUAUAAUAUUUAAAGAAAUUUUUAAUUGAGGUCCUAAAUUUAUGCAUUAAUUAGCACUAACUUAUAAAGUUAAUUGAUUAAUCAAAUUUAUGCAAUUAUUAGGUAUUAAAUUAGGAAUUUACUUUAAAUGUUUUAGUGUUUCUCAAAUUAUGCAUUAAUUUAAAUUAUAGAAAUUUUAGAAAUAGUUUUAUUUCUAAAUACGAUGAAUUUAAAUUUUAAAAAUUAAAUACUUAAAAUUUAAAAAUAAAAUUUAAAUUAGAGGAAUUUCAUAUUAUUAUUUAAAAACUAAAUUUCUACAAAGAUUUAAAAUACAAUUUAUUCGCACAAGUUUAAAACGUAAUGCAUUAAAAACUUAGAAAGUAAGAUUUCUACAACUAAAUUUCUCUAGAGGAAUUUCAUAUUACUAUUUAAAUUUUAAAUUCAAUGAUUUAAAAACUAUAUUGAACCGAUUGAUUUGACUGAUCAGACUUUGACCUAUUCUAUCAAGAAUCUGAUUUUAACCUAUUGAACCGAAUAACAUUAAGAACAAUUUGGAACCGGUAAAAAUAAUAAAUAUUUUAAACAAAAUGAUAAUUUAACUAUUAGAGCUAAUAAAUAUUUUAAAUAUAAUUUUAAACAUAUAAAUUUAAAAGAUUAGAAUUAUUGGUGAGAAAAAAAAUAGUUAGGAAUUUGAAUUCAAAUUUAACUAACAAUCACAAAACUUAUUUCCGAACUCGAAGGAUUUCAAAAAUCCAUAUCCAAAUUCAAAACUUACCAAUUUUUCGAAAUCCAAAACCAUACCUAAAUCAAAAGACUAGAAUUCAAACAAUUAUUUCUGUUUACCAUAUUUCAAAGUAUUUAUAUGAAACUUAAAUUUUUAAAAUAUAAAUUUGAAUAUAAUAUUAAAUUUUAAAUUUAAAAGUGAAAUUUAAAUUUGAGAAAUUUCAUAUUACUAUUUAAAGUUUAAAUUCAAUGAUCAUAUUAUCAAAUCAUUUGAAAUUUUUCUUAUAUGAAAUGCCAAAUUAUGAAAGAAAAGAUAGAGAGAGAAAAAGAAAACAAAGAAAAAAUAAAAAUUUUGAAAAUAUAGUAGAUGUAAAGUGACUAAAUUAUCUAUGUAGACAAAAAUAUCCCUUUUUGAGGUAUCUGGUAACCGGUAUCUCUCCCAAAGUGAUCUGCUAUUGCAGGUUAUAAUUUUAAAAAAACUAAAUCUGAAUCGUUGAAUACGUGUGAAUGAACGGUAACCAAAAAAAAAAAAAAGUACAGAAGCAUUACUCUUCUCUCUAAUAUAUGUUUUUUUUUUUUCCUUCUCUCCUCACAUUUUUUUUGUCUUAUUUUCUCUACAUUCAAACAAAAAGCUCCACUAUUAUUAUUAUUAUUAUUAUUAUUAUUAUUAUUAUUAUUAUUAUUAUAUACAAUUUUUUAAAAUCUAAAAUAUUAAAUCAAGUUAUCGUGUUUAAAAACACAUUCCCAACGACCGAAUACUUCUUCGGUGCCGUAUGCUCGUAAGAAUCGCAAAAGUCAAGACAACAACCAUUGGUUGGAUAUAUAAACACCCACAAAUAAAUAAUAAACACAAAUAUAUACACCAAUCAAUGAGCAAACAUGUAACAUUUACUACCAGUUUAAUAUGCAUUCGAAAAUUGCACAUAUAUAGAAUUAAAAAAUAAAGGGCAAUUAUAUUCAUGCACCGUAAUUAGUGACCAUUACCUACAUUUUCCUACUAUUUAUUGCCAUAUCACCUUGCCUAAUUUUCCUGAUAUAACGUCAUCAUCUCUCCAACCACGCUUCCUAAUGGCCGGUGAUCGAUGCAUUAUGGAUUUGUUACUGAUCCUCUUACACACGAUUUUCGUAUUUUUUGCAUACAACGUGAACGCACACCUCUCAUCACGCGGCAACAAAUCACGUACACGGCACCUGUGAUUCUCUCUAUGUUCGACACAUGGCACAUUCCCAUUCCCCCUCCUUGUUUUUUCCUUUUUCUCCUCAUCCACUUAAAUUGAUUUCACACGUGGAAUAUGCCAAAUCAUAUUCCCAUCUCAAUCAUGUAACGUCGACCAUAAAUAAAUAAAACGACCCCCCACCUUCCCUUCUCCAAUUAUUGUUAUAUAUAUAUAGUAAGCGUCACGACUCGAUAAGUCCAAUUCAAAGAGGUUAAGAAAAAAGAGCUUCUGCGUUUCGAAAAAGCACUAAACAACUAUGAGGAGCCCAUCCCUUCUCUCUUUGGCCCUACUGCUUCUCGCAGCAGUUGUGUGUAAUGCACAAGAUUUCGACUUCUUCUACUUCGUUCUACAGGUACAUAUAUAGUUAAUUACUCUUAUUGUUGUUUUAGAUAUAUGCACAAGAUUUGAACGUGCACUAAUAAUGGUUGUGUUGUUGUUGUGUUGUAGUGGCCGGGGUCUUACUGCGAUACUAGGCAGAGUUGUUGUUAUCCGACCUCCGGCAAGCCGCCCGCGGACUUCGGCAUCCACGGGCUUUGGCCAAACUACAACGAUGGAUCGUACCCGUCCAACUGCGACCCCGAUAGCCCCUUCGAUGAAUCGAAGGUUAUUAUUAUUGUUUUGGAUUUGGUUUUUUUUCUUAAUUUGAUAUAUAUAUAUGAUUUUGAAAAGUUGCCGGUGUGUUGUAAUGUCGCUCUUCUUCUGAAAAAGAUAGUAAUAAGGAAAGAAGCUUAAAAUAGAAGAACCGCCUAAAAUAUCAGUGUUGUUUUUGAAAAAGAAGGAUCAGUAAAUUAUUAGCUCACAUCACCUAAAAUUUUAGGCAUAGGCCAAACAAUUUAGAUAGUUUCGAUGCGAAACAUUGUUAGGAUAAUUCUUGAGAGUAAUCCGAAACUACAUCGGCGCCUAAAACAUAUUCUUUUUAAUAAAUUAUUUGUAGAUAAGCGACCUGAUAGGGCGAAUGCGAACGAAUUGGCCGACCCUCGCAUGCCCGAGCAACGAUGGCGUGAAGUUUUGGGGGCAUGAGUGGGAGAAGCACGGCACCUGCGCCGAGUCCAUCCUCGACGAGCACAGCUACUUCCAAACUGCUCUUAACCUCAAGAACCAGUUGAACCUUCUCCAAACUUUACAAAAUGCAGGUAAAAUUAGUUUCACAUCGGUUUGUAUAUACGUAGUCUCCAACCGACUCAACGCUAUGUCUUAUCAUUGAAAAUCUCAGUAGUUUCUCUUCAAAUUCAUCGAAUUUUCGUACUUUUCUUAUGAUGAUGAUAGAUGUACUCAAAGUGUUUGAAUCUUGAACACCUGUUGUUAUAAUUGAAGGCCUACUAAGACCAAACUAAAACUAAGUUAAGAAUUUGGAGUAAUGCUUCCAUAAAACAGUUUCCAUCCGAUUGCAUUUCCUCAUUAAAAAAUGACCAUAUUCCAUUAUAAUGAUCUGACCCGCUAAUCUCUAUCUUGAAUCGUACAAACAACAAAGUCAAAAAAUUAAGAAAAAAUUUUACCACGUACGAAUGAAUAUUAACUAUAUUUUUAUGGGAAACAACGUACAACGCAGGGAUCGAGCCGGACGGUGGAUACUACAGUUUGAGCAGCAUCAAAGAGGCUAUAAAAGAAGGAACUGGUUACACCCCAUUCAUCGAAUGCAAUGUCGACGAGUCGCGGAACAGCCAAUUGUAUCAGGUUUACUUCUGUGUGGACACUUCAGGUUCCCAGCUCAUUGAGUGCCCAGUAUUUCCCAGAGGAAGAUGCGAUUCAAGGAUUGAGUUCCCUGCUUUUUAGUAGAUAAGGGUGUGUUGGGUUGUAGUUUUAAUUAAUCAGUUGCUUGUAUUUCAUAAUAAGAUAAUUGGAGCAUUUAUUCCUGUAAUGAAAGAGACAUAUAUGGCAUCACUUUCAUAUUCCCUCAAUUUUUUUUUUUAAAAAAAAAAACAUUGUUUUCAUAUGGUUUAUUUCCUGUAUGGUUAAUUACUUUCGCCAGUAGAUACUUUUUUCGUAUAUACGGUUUCAGAUUAGAGGAUUCUCAGUUCAGAAUUACACCCAGAUUUUAAUGAUCUUCUCUAAUUUUCUUGCUUCUAUUGUUAGGCUUGAAAAAAAAAAAAAAAAGUGAAAUGUAAAUAUUAAAUUAUUAUUGUUUUUAAUUACAGCAUAAGAGUUUUACACUCUAUAAUAUGGACUGAAAGAAAAGAAGAAAAAGGAAAGGAAAGUUAUAAGAGAAAAUAAUUUUUUGCUGUUUGGAUCGAAACUGCAGGAGAGAGAAGAAAAAAAAAGAAAAAAGAGAGAGACAGAGAGAUAGAGAAAAAAUGGCCUUUUGUAAUGGUUUUUCUCUCUCCAACAGUGAAGAUAAAAAGGAGAAAGAAUUACUCUCUUUCUUUUUUUCCCCACUUACUUGAAGUAGUAGAAGAGAAAAUUAGUUUAUUUUUCCUUUUCUUUUAUUUCCUUAUCUCUUCUAUUCAUAGAGAAAUUAAUUGCUUCACGCUUUUGUUUUAUAAUGUAUAAUAAUGUACAAGAUAUUCCUAUCAAUGUAUCAUAGACCACGUGGGAGGAUCAUUUUUUCUCUCUCUCUCUCUUUUUUUUCUUUUUUUUUUUACUGUGUUGUUUUGAGUUGUCAUAAGAUGUUAAAAUGGGUCUAUGUUAUAAUAUAUUACUGAUUUCAUCAAGUAUAAAAUUUUAAUUGGCAACACUGUUGUAUACACAUAAAAUUGUAGCAUCCGUAAAAUUUAAAAGAUUAUAGGGAGAUUCAAAUAGAUACAAAUGAAUAAUAUGGGAUCCAGAUCAUUUUUUACCUAAUAAAAAGAAAAUUAAUUUACGUACAUGUAAUGAUCAAAAGAUAUAGCGCGUUUUUCUUUUUCGAAAACAUUUAUCUUGGUGGUCCAACGGUCUUGAAAAAACAGUGCCUUAUUUUUAUCAUUUUUUACAUCUUUUUUCAACGAGCCAAAGACAUUUUAUAUCCCAAGAAAAAGAGACCUCUUAUUGACGAAAUAUGGCCCUCACAUUGGAUCAAAUUACGUACGAUUUGGUCGCGAAAAGGGCAUUAAUCCGAAAAAAAGCAACACAUAGCGUAGAAGAAACCGGAGUGUCCAAAAAAAAAAGAAGGCAAGGUGCGUUUCGCAAACAUAAUAAUAGGAGAAUUAUUAUCUUCUUUUUUUUUUUUUUUUUUUUGAGAGAGAUAGUUAGCACGCUACCCGCUUCGUUUAUUUCAUUUAGAAAUAAACUUAGCUGGAAAUGUAAAUCAACUAAAAUUCGAACUUGAGUUUCGGAUACCAACCACUAAGUCCUUUGCCACUUGCUUUAGGGACAAUCGGUAAUAAGAAUUAUGAUUGUUUAUCAUAAACAUAAAAUAAGAGCUAUGAUUUUUUUGAGAGAUAGGUAGCACGCUACCCGCUUCGUUUAUUUUAUUUAAAAAUAAACUUAGCUAGAAAUGUGAAUCAACUAGGAUUCGAACUUAUGUCUCGGGUACCAACUAUCAAGCCUUUUGCCACUUGCUCUAGGGACGGUCGGUGUUUAGCUAGAUUAUUAUUGAAAAAGAUUCGAUAGUUAAGUGAAUCUACCAUUUGGUUUGCGAGAGAGAUAAUUUAUUUGCUGCGCUUCAUAUCUUUUGUCUCUUCUUAAAGUUUUAGGCACUAUAAUAUUAGAAAAUUACAAAUCAUUUCUAGUACAAGUGACAACUUAAUUAAUUUAUAUUUUCAGUGACAUUUAUAAAAAAAAUCUGUACUCUAGCGUUUGAGAACUUCUAUCAAAUACAAACUCUUGUUCCAGCUUUUCCAGAUCUAAUCAGCAAUAAGAGUUUGAUCGAUAGGUGUCACUUCAUAUGCCAAGAAAGAGUUUGUUAACCAACCCAAAUGUCUCAUCCCAAGAGUGCACGAAAUAUGGGCAAUCACCUGCUAACUCUAGGAUGUUACACUUUCAAUCACCAACCCUUUUUAUUUAUUUUCCUCAUCCAAAACAUAAUAUAGGUAUGUAUUUAUGUUCAUCCCCAACCACAAAUAUUAAUUUGUCCCCCUAGAAUGUUCCUUGGGAACCCAUUUCCAUUUAUAUCUUUAUUUUCUUUCGCUUUCUGUACAAGUAGACGUCUACUAUAAAUAUGUCAUGAUUGAACUAAAAAAAUUAAACAAAUAAAGAUACAAAUGUACGCGCACGUAUCUACAUGGACCGGGAUAUACCCGAUUUUUGUUAAUAUAUGUUCUUAUGUAGUUAGGAGGAAACUUUACAAAAUAGUUUAUUAGUAUGUCUUUCAUUAGAACCAAACUAACUAUGUCUUUUUUUCUUUUUCUUUUUUUUGAUGAGUGAGUAGUGGUAAGUGAAAGUUCGUCGGACCCAACCCAAUCUUGGCCUGAUUUAGUUACCACGGAAUUGGCCCAUUUUUGCGUGGAUCAUAGAUUCAACAUAGAAGCGUAAGCGCGUAACACACACACACAAAUGGGUCGGAUCUAGAGAGGGUUUCGUAAUUGGUUUUAUUAGUUAUAUUAGGCCGCCUCGUUGACAUCCCAAAGUAUGUGAUUUGAAUCCCAAAAUAUUCCAAAUUACUUUUAUAAGCAACAUGACUCGGAAAAGAUAUACAAACAAUUCGUGAACUCUACCACUUUUGUAAGCAAACCUCCGAACUUUUAAUUCUGAUAAUUACACUCGUUAAACUCUUUCCUCUUUCUAAAAUAAAAUAUAAUACAACUUUUGGGUUAUUGGAUAUGAGGCUUGAGGACCAAUUAUCCCCAAGUAUCCAUUUUGAAAUCCUUAGAAGAGACCCAUUCGGCUAAUUAUGCGGAUGCUCGGAGCUUGUUACGCACAAAAUUGGUAGUUCGCUGUCGCAUGUCAAUUUUAUUUUUAUCCAAAAAAUUUAUAUUUUUUUAAAAAAUUAAAUAUAUUUAAUUUAAAUAUAAAAAAAAUAUUUAAUAAAUAUUUAGAUAAAAAUAAAAUUGACAUUUCCCACUAAAAUUUUAGCCGCACAUCAACCGUAGUGACCGCGUGACAGUGUAAUCGGAACGGCGCAUGAGACUCACCAGUGAAUUUCCUCAACAAGCUUUUGAUCUUUUUGAGGACUCGGGAGAUGUUUGACUGAAAUUAAGGCUCAGGCAAAAUGAUAUUCUGUUUUUUUUAUAAAUAUAUAUUGUUGAAUAUAAUUUUAUAUAUUAAAAAGUAUGUAGAUGAAUUUUAAAAUUAUUAUUUUUAAAAUAUGUUAUUAAUCACUUAUUCAGAUGCGUUCUAAGUUAACCAACAACAAUAAUAAUAAUUCUUCAACACAUCAAGUUAUAACCAACCGUCCCUAUAGCAAAUGGCAGAGGAUUUGGUGGUUGGUACCCGAGAUUCAAGUUCGAAUUCUAAAAAUAAACGAAGCGGGUAGCGCGCUAUCUAUCUCUUCUAAAAAAAAAAAAAAACACAUCAAGUUAUAUAAAAUUAGUGUUUAAAAACAUGAAAAUGAGCAAUGGAACUAAACAAGGUCUAAGUUUGUGACAAAAAACAUUAAUCUUAUUACUAGCUUAGCACAAUAUCUUUUUUUGGAUAAAUUUCAAAUACCACCCCCUGUGGUUUCAUAUCACUUUAGUACCAUAUAGUUUAAAGUGUAUCAAGUUAAUGUUAUGUGGUUUUAUUUUUAUAUUUUCGUCAGCUUCUCCGUUAAUAUUUCGUUAAAUUAUAUAUAAAAAACUUCAGAUAUCCAUUUAAAUUUAUCAAAUAUUUACUUUAAUAGCUUUUAGCUUUAAUUUUGUCAUUAAUUUAACAAAAAAAAUUAGUGAAAUCGAUAAUAAAAAGAUAAAAAAUGAAAUCACAUAGUACUAAAUUAAUACACUUUAAACCACUGAAUAUUAAAGUGAAAAAGUGUGAAACAAUAAUAAUGGUAUUUGAGGUUUUUCCUUUUCUUUUUCAUUUCUUU
rnacentral:lncRNA from 1 species